rnacentral:rRNA from 1 species
AGUGAACGCUGGCGGUAUGCCUAACACAUGCAAGUCGAACGGCAACACAGUAAGAGCUUGCUCUUACGGGUGGCGAGUGGCGGACGGGUGAGGAAUACAUCGGAAUCUACUUUUUCGUGGGUGACAACGGAGGGAAACAUACGCUAAUACCGCAUACGACCUACCGGAGAAAUCAAGGGAUCUUCAGACCUUGCGUGAUUGAAUGAGCCGAUGCCGGAUUAGCUAGUUGGCGUGGUAAAGGCCCACCAAGGCGACGAUCCGUAGCUGGUCUGAGAGGAUGAUCAGCCACACUGGAACUGAGACACGGUCCAGACUCCUACGGGAGGCAGCAGUGGGGAAUAUUGGGCAAUGGGCGCAAGCCUGAUCCAGCCAUACCGCGUGGGUGAAGAAGGCCUUCGGGUUGUAAAGCCCUUUUGUUGGGAAAGAAAAGAAGCAGGUUAAUACCCCGCUGUUCUGACGGUACCCAAAGAAUAAGCACCGGCUAACUUCGUG